rnacentral:lncRNA from 1 species
UAAUCUGAGUAGUUUCUUCUUUCUUUUUUUUUUUAAGUGAUGAUUUCAUAGCUGGCAUUUAAAGAAUGCAACUAUGUCAUUUUGUUUAAAAAGUACUGUGGAUUUUGAAACUGAAUUAAAGAGCUGUGUAGACAUGCCCAGAGAUAAGAUUACAAAUUUGGGAAGCAGACGGCUCAGGAAUUCCCCAGGAUUGUUGUGCAGGGGAGGGGCUGGGAGAAGCUUGAACUAGCUUAACAGGAACCUUGGUGCUCUUUGACCUCGAAGCCAAGGACAGGAACAUAGACAGUGGAAAAGUAAAAUGUCUCCUUUUCCUUCCCUUAAGGAGUUUCAACAUUGAACUUUUAAAAAUAUUUCUAUCACAUUCUAGCAAUAUUUUUUUUUCUUUACCCCACACAUCAUAAGUUGUGUGGAGAAACUAUCUCACCAAACAGUAUUACCGAGGUAACAAAAACUGGCUGAUGUUGAAUUUAGAUUGCUUGAGUUUUCAAGUGGACUUGCCUGCCUUCAUAUGUUACUGUGGUACAGCAUACAGUAUGUCGGCAUUACCUCAAACUCAGGGACCCCACGGGGACGAGAACACCCUCUUCCUGAGACUGAGUUGGAAGUGGAAGGUAGCAAUAGUUUUUGACCAAGUCUCUGGAAGGGAUAGUAUCUGUAUCCAGAGAACGGUUGAGACCAGGAGGAGGGGAUACCCAGGGCCACACUCUGGGGUCCCUAAGACAUUCUCACUGAGUGAGGUGGAGGGCCACUGCCUGAGGCUACUGCAGAUGCCCUUUGGGGACCCUUUGCCUUUGCAGGAACCCUCGGCCGCAGACCCAGGGAAUCCCUCCAAGUGCAGGCAGAGUCUGUCCCUGAUCCCUGCCUGAAGAGUGGCUGUCACUGCUUUGUGUCCUCCAGUGUCAUGGGAAUGUUGUGGCUGAGGCAUCCUGCCUUACUUAGUCUUUGUUCUCCAAAUCUGUCACUGAUUCUAUAUUGUGAUGACAGAUCCCCGAAUUCCCCCAUUGCUCAGCUUCAGGUUUGUUUUGGGGAAAUUCAGUGUCGGCUGCCCAAAUCUUUUGGGUCCUUGUGUGUGAGCCUGUUUAUGUCACUCCCUUCUGAGUUGUGCUCUCACUGCUCUGGCAUACUUGCACGUGCACACGCACGCACACACACACAUGAUAUCUGGCUACGGCUUGUAAAAAUUACAAAGAUAAAUAAUCUGUUUCACUGCUUAAUGAGUUGCAACUAAGGUUGUUUGGGCUCCUGGAUCUAGCUCUCAUGGUUCGGAUUCAUUACAGCAAACUCCCAUUGUUCACCAUAUUGAUUUACAGUAGUGUGACAACAUUAACAAACAUGGCACAACCUGAAUUGUAUAAGGCGAACUAAAGAAGAAAAGUGACAUAUGAAUAUAUUUUGCAAAUGUCACAUUAACUAAAAAACAAAUAUGAAUAAUUUCAUUGUUUAAUUUUUUAAGUGGGCAUUCUCCACUGUUUCCAGACCUCUGUAUGUAUAUUUUUAUCUCUCUCUUUUUUUUUUUUUUUUUUGCCAAAUAAGGUGUUAUUUUGGUCCUCUGUUGGUAGAGGUUUUGUUUAAAUAGAGCCAAUCAGGCCCUAAGUGCAAAAAAGUUCUGUCUUGGUGCUUAUCACUGGUGUGGUUAUUAUUUUUGCUUCCCUAACUUUGCUCUUAGGAGCAUAAAUCUGUUUGUAGCUUUAUGGUAAUGGGAUAUUUCUAGUCACAUACUGUCAAAAGUUUUUUUACAUUGUACAAGUGAAGAUUGCUUUCAGGAUUAAAUGAUUGGAAUUAAUGUAUAUAGAGUAAAGUUUUUGCAAAAUUUAAAAACGAUGUUUCUUGGCGUUCUUUUUAAAUACUCUUUGAAAAAUAUAAUAUAUAAUACAAACUACACAUCAACAGUAGACUUUUACAGCACCAAUAAACUAUUUAAAUAUGGAUCCUUUUUUUUCCUGAAU